GAUGAACGCUGGCGGCGUGCCUAAUACAUGCAAGUCGAGCGAACAGAUAAGGAGCUUGCUCCUUUGACGUUAGCGGCGGACGGGUGAGUAACACGUGGGUAACCUACCUAUAAGACUGGGAUAACUUCGGGAAACCGGAGCUAAUACCGGAUAAUAUUUCGAACCGCAUGGUUCGAUAGUGAAAGAUGGUUUUGCUAUCACUUAUAGAUGGACCCGCGCCGUAUUAGCUAGUUGGUAAGGUAACGGCUUACCAAGGCGACGAUACGUAGCCGACCUGAGAGGGUGAUCGGCCACACUGGAACUGAGACACGGUCCAGACUCCUACGGGAGGCAGCAGUAGGGUAUCUUCCGCAAUGGGCGAAAGCCUGACGGAGCAACGCCGCGUGAGUGAUGAAGGUCUUCGGAUCGUAAAACUCUGUUAUUAGGGAAGAACAUACGUGUAAGUAACUGUGCACGUCUUGACGGUACCUAAUCAGAAAGCCACGGCUAACUACGU
rnacentral:rRNA from 1 species